GAAUAAAGUACGAUCAAUUAAGGAUUAGACGUAAACUUACACCCUUCAUCUUCGCAGCAAACGUUGCUUGUCUCAUAUUUGGGGAAAAAGUUUUGCGAUAAUCUAGUGUUAAAAAUACUGUAAGUAAUGUAUACAAAAGCAAAGGAGUACUUGCGAAACCUGCGCUCAGUACGCAUGGUCUAGACGCUGUAAACGCAAUUACUCUACAUUGGAUGACACAGAAAAGAAUUUUUUCAAAUGACGAGAUCGCAACACACAUUAAGUGUAUCAAUACUUAUAUUGCCAAAAAAAUAAGUGAUUUAUAUCGGUCCUCGAGACAAAGUGCUAAACGUAAGAGAAGAGAAGGAGAUAAUGAGAAAUGUAAGAAAAAGUCGAAAAAUUUUGUGGAAGAUGAUGACAGCGAAGCAAAAGAGAAUGAGAAAUCCAAAGAAUACAAGCUUGAAUAAGAAACUGAGAAAUUAGCUGAGGGAGACGUACCUGAAAGGACUGAAGAAUUGGAAAAUGACAGCGAUACAAAUCAGAAUGAGAAAUCCAAAGAAAACAAGCUUGAAAACGAAACUGAGAAAGUAGCUGAGGGAGUCGUAUCUGCUAAGACUGAAGAAUUGGAUGAUGACAGCGAUGUAAUUGAGAAUGAGAAAUCCACAGAAUACCAGCUUGAACACGAAACUGAGAAAUUAGCUGAGGGAGGCAUACCUGAAAGGACUGAAGAAUUGGAAGAUGGCAGCGAUGCAAAUGAGAAGGAGAAAUCCAAAGAAAACAAGCUUGAAGACGAAACUGAGAAAGUAGCUGAGGAAGAUGGAAAUAAAACAGACGAUGAUUUUGACGAUUCCAUAUUCUAUCCAUGAAGUGACAAUAUGGAGCUUGGAUGGAGUCGAAAGGUCCCAUAUUACAGUAAAACUAGUUUUAAUUAAAAAAUAUAUUAUAAA